CCUACGGGAGGCAGCAGUGGGGAAUAUUGCACAAUGGGGGAAACCCUGAUGCAGCGACGCCGCGUGAGUGAAGAAGUAUUUCGGUAUGUAAAGCUCUAUCAGCAGGGAAGAAAAUGACGGUACCUGAUUAAGAAGCCCCGGCGAACUACGUGCCAGCAGCCGCGGCAAUACGUAGGGGGCAAGCGUUAUCCGGAUUUACUGGGUGUAAAGGGAGCGUAGACGGUGAUGCAAGUCAGAAGUGAAAGCCCGGGGUUCAACUCCGGGACUGCUUUUGAAACUGGGUGACUGGAGUGCAGGAGAGGUAAGCGGAAUUCCUGGUGUAGCGGUGAAAUGCGUAGAUAUCAGGAGGAACACCAGUGGCGAAGGCGGCUUACUGGACUGUAACUGACGUUGAGGCUCGAAAGCGUGGGGAGCGAACAGGAUUAGAUACCCUUGUAGUC
rnacentral:rRNA from 1 species